rnacentral:rRNA from 1 species
AGAGUUUGAUCCUGGCUCAGAUUGAACGCUGGCGGCAGGCCUAACACAUGCAAGUCGAACGGUAACAGGAAGCAGCUUGCUGCUUCGCUGACGAGUGGCGGACGGGUGAGUAAUGUCUGGGAAACUGCCUGAUGGAGGGGGAUAACUACUGGAAACGGUGGCUAAUACCGCAUAACGUCGCAAGACCAAAGAGGGGGACCUUCGGGUCUCUUGCCAUCAGAUGUGCCCAGAUGGGAUUAGCUUGCUGGUGAGGUAACGGCUCACCAAGGCGACGAUCCCUAGCUGGUCUGAGAGGAUGACCAGCCACACUGGAACUGAGACACGGUCCAGACUCCUACGGGAGGCAGCAGUGGGGAAUAUUGCACAAUGGGCGCAAGCCUGAUGCAGCCAUGCCGCGUGUAUGAAGAAGGCCUUCGGGUUGUAAAGUACUUUCAGCGGGGAGGAAGGUGUUGUGGUUAAUAACCGCAGCAAUUGACGUUACCCGCAGAAGAAGCACCGGCUAACUCCGUGCCAGCAGCCGCGGUAAUACGGAGGGUGCAAGCGUUAAUCGGAAUUACUGGGCGUAAAGCGCACGCAGGCGGUCUGUCAAGUCGGAUGUGAAAUCCCCGGGCUCAACCUGGGAACUGCAUUCGAAACUGGCAGGCUUGAGUCUUGUAGAGGGGGGUAGAAUUCCAGGUGUAGCGGUGAAAUGCGUAGAGAUCUGGAGGAAUACCGGUGGCGAAGGCGGCCCCCUGGACAAAGACUGACGCUCAGGUGCGAAAGCGUGGGGAGCAAACAGGAUUAGAUACCCAGGUAGUCCACGCCGUAAACGAUGUCUACUUGGAGGUUGUGCCCUUGAGGCGUGGCUUCCGGAGCUAACGCGUUAAGUAGACCGCCUGGGGAGUACGGCCGCAAGGUUAAAACUCAAAUGAAUUGACGGGGGCCCGCAUAAGCGGUGGAGCAUGUGGUUUAAUUCGAUGCAACGCGAAGAACCUUACCUGGUCUUGACAUCCACAGAAGAAUCCAGAGAUGGAUUUGUGCCUUCGGGAACUGUGAGACAGGUGCUGCAUGGCUGUCGUCAGCUCGUGUUGUGAAAUGUUGGGUUAAGUCCCGCAACGAGCGCAACCCUUAUCCUUUGUUGCCAGCGGUCCGGCCGGGAACUCAAAGGAGACUGCCAGUGAUAAACUGGAGGAAGGUGGGGAUGACGUCAGGUCAUCAUGGCCCUUACGACCAGGGCUACACACGUGCUACAAUGGCGCAUACAAAGAGAAGCGACCUCGCGAGAGCAAGCGGACCUCAUAAAGUGCGUCGUAGUCCGGAUUGGAGUCUGCAACUCGACUCCAUGAAGUCGGAAUCGCUAGUAAUCGUGGAUCAGAAUGCCACGGUGAAUACGUUCCCGGGCCUUGUACACACCGCCCGUCACACCAUGGGAGUGGGUUGCAAAAGAAGUAGGUAGCUUAACCUUCGGGAGGGCGCUUACCACUUUGUGAUUCAUGACUGGGGUGAAGUCGUAACAAGGUAGCC